GGAGCACAUGUACUGAGGUUCAUGCCUUGACGCAGAGGACCAGGGUUUGAGUCCAACCUUUGAUGAUUUCCUGCAUGUCUCCCUCCUUCUCUCCCCUUUCUCACUUAGCUGUCCUGUC